AUGUAUCUGGCUCUUCUCCAUACUGAUACUAAUGUUUCUUGGAGAACUGUUAUGUUCAACAACAUUACAAGAUCAAGGGUAAUUCACACAUUUUGGAUGGUUUGUCAUAAGAGACUUGCCACUAAAGAGAGACUGGUGCGGUUUGGUAUGCUUAGUCAUGAUGACUGUUGCUUUCGCAAGAACAUUGAAACUCAAGAGCAUUUGUUGUUCUCGUGCUCUGGUUCUAUUCAAAAUGACAAAGUUUUCCUUCGUGCCAAUUCUUGUCCUUUUCUUUAUUUUUUCAGUUAUAACAAUGACAUGUCAAGCAGACCAAAUAUGUACCACACCCCGUGA